CCGGCGCACGGGUGAGUAACACGUAUCCAACCUGCCGUCUACUCUUGGACAGCCUUCUGAAAGGAAGAUUAAUACAAGAUGGCAUCAUGAGUUCACAUGUUCACAUGAUUAAAGGUAUUCCGGUAGACGAUGGGGAUGCGUUCCAUUAGAUAGUAGGCGGGGUAACGGCCCACCUAGUCUUCGAUGGAUAGGGGUUCUGAGAGGAAGGUCCCCCACAUUGGAACUGGGACACGGUCCAA
rnacentral:rRNA from 1 species